UGGGGAAUUGUUCACAAUGGGCGCAAGCCUGAUGACGCAACGCCGCGUGGGGGAUGAAGGUCUUCGGAUCGUAAACCCCUGUCGAAUGGGACGAAAGACUCGCGAGUGAAUACUUCGCGAGAGUGACGGUACCGUUAAAGGAAGCCACGGCUAACUCUGUGCCAGCAGCCGCGGUAAUACAGAGGUGGCAAGCGUUGUUCGGAAUUACUGGGCGUAAAGGGCGCGUAGGCGGCCCUCUAAGUCAGACGUGAAAUCCCCCGGCUUAACCUGGGAACUGCGUCUGAUACUGGAGGGCUUGAGUAUGGGAGAGGGAUGUAGAAUUCCAGGUGUAGCGGUGAAAUGCGUAGAUAUCUGGAGGAAUACCGGUGGCGAAGGCGGCAUCCUGGACCAUUACUGACGCUGAGGCGCGAAAGCUAGGGGAGCAAACAGGAUUAGAUACCCCUGUAGUCCCUGAGCGGGCUGGCAAGGCGCAU
rnacentral:rRNA from 1 species